rnacentral:rRNA from 1 species
GAUGAACGCUGGCGGCGUGCCUAAUACAUGCCAGUCGAGCGAACAGAUGAGGAGCUUGCUCCUCUGACGUUAGCGGCGGACGGGUGAGUAACACGUGUAUAACCUACCUAUAAGACUGGGAUAACUUCGGGAAACCGGAGCUAAUACCGGAUAAUAUAUUGAACCGCAUGGUUCAAUAGUGAAAGACGGUUUUGCUGUCACUUAUAGAUGGAUCCGCGCCGCAUUAGCUAGUUGGUAAGGUAACGGCUUACCAAGGCAACGAUGCGUAGCCGACCUGAGAGGGUGAUCGGCCACACGGGAACUGAGACACGGUCCAGACUCCUACGGGAGGCAGCAGUAGGGAAUCUUCCGCAAUGGGCGAAAGCCUGACGGAGCAACGCCGCGUGAGUGAUGAAGGUCUUCGGAUCGUAAAACUCUGUUAUUAGGGAAGAACAAAUGUGUAAGUAACUAUGCACGUCUUGACGGUACCUAAUCAGAAAGCCACGGCUAACUACGUG